GUGCUCAAUUCAGCUACACAUACACUAACAUUGAAACAAUACAGAGAAGAGUACCAUGGCACUUGUGCAAGGACGAUAUGCAAAUUCGUGGUGUGUUCCAUAUUUUU